rnacentral:lncRNA from 1 species
ACACUACCAUAUAGUACUACUUCUUUUUUGGCAUGUUAUGAUACUUUCAUGCCAAUGACCAUGGCCUAAGCCUAACCACUGGCAUUCAAGUCUAACAUUCAUAAAUUGUAAAUGGAUAGAUUAUGAACCAACCUUUUCAAUGCACUGUACCAAAGUAGCAACAAAAAACCUACCUUCAUUAUCAGUUGGUAACAAAAUAAAUAUAGAUUUUUUUGGGUGAUAAAAUAUACACUUCCACCAAGAAAAUUACUAAAUAUUCCCGUACUAAAAACAAAGAUUAAUCGAUUUACCACUAACGCUUGUAGUCAUUACAAAAACAUAAAUAUAGAAAGUUAAAGAAAAUCAAAGUUUCUCCCAGCACAUACAGGUCCAAAAGCAAUUAGAAUAGCCUAACAUGUUGUCAUUACACAAACUAUAGCUGGUUACUCUAAUAAAAUUGACACUUUUGUACUGAUGUAGUUGUCCACCUCCUGUACUGCCUUCAUCUGUAAUACUCUUUCUCAACAAGGGAUUGAAAAUGAACUGCCUUCAGUCUUGCUGCCUUCAGUCUGAUAAUACAAAUAUUAACCAUCAUGAGAACUUCUGAGGCAUGAAAUUACACUAACAAAUGAGUAUGCAAAAUUACCUCAGAAUUUAGAUUUAAUGAUUCACAUAGCAAUCUCAGUUGCACCUGGGGGUGAAUCAAUAUCAUCAUUAUCUACACUUGGAUCCUGAGUAGCAUCAUCAUUUGAUACUCCAAUUCUACAUGUAAACAAAUAGUAAAUUCAAAUUUAAACAAAUACCAAAAUCAAUUUUAAACAAAUAGCAAAGUCAAAAUACACAAAGUAUAAAAAUUGGCUUAUGCCUACUCAGUGAACACAAUAUAAAAAUGAUGCACGUCUAGAUCAUUUAUACAAAAUGCAGACUUGUAGUAUAUAUCCAGUACCAUUAUCACACAUCAUUUAUUCAAGAAUCAAAGUAUAAAAACAAAUAGCAAUGUCAGUUGUGUCUGCUCCUAUUUACUGUCCACUUAUAACCAAAAAAGAAUGGCUACGGUAGAAUAACAUCUUACCCCUAUUCUUAUCUUUUCAUUUCCUCUGCCAUUUGUUUGGAACAAAUUUCAAACCCAUAGUCCAUAGACAGUCUCAUACUCUUCACCUACCAAACAGAGCAUAAAUAUAAGUAUAUCAAUCCGGAUCAGAAAGCUAUACUACAGUUAUUGAAAAACUUUUGUUCCAUCAAAAUUUGGAGAAAUAAGUAAUACUUUGUCAUUCAACUUCCAUAAAAGGAGAUAAGCAAUCAAGUAAAUGAUAUUGAAGUUUGCAGGGAAUAAGAAAAAGAACAUGACUGUAAAUCACAAAUAUUUCACAGAAGAAAAACAUGGCCCUAAAUUUGGAGACAUAACAGGUUUAGGNNNNNNNNNNNNNNNNNNNN